AACGAACGCUGGCGGCAUGCCUAACACAUGCAAGUCGAACGAGACCUUCGGGUCUAGUGGCGCACGGGUGCGUAACGCGUGGGAACCUGCCCUUAGGUUCGGAAUAACUCCCCGAAAGGGGUGCUAAUACCGGAUAAUGUCUUCGGACCAAAGAUUUAUCGCCUUUGGAUGGGCCCGCGUUGGAUUAGCUAGUUGGUAGGGUAAAAGCCUACCAAGGCGACGAUCCAUAGCUGGUCUGAGAGGAUGAUCAGCCACACUGGGACUGAGACACGGCCCAGACUCCUACGGGAGGCGGCAGUGGGGAAUAUUGGACAAUGGGCGAAAGCCUGAUCCAGCAAUGCCGCGUGAGUGAUGAAGGCCUUAGGGUUGUAAAGCUCUUUUACCCGGGAUGAUAAUGACAGUACCGGGAGAAUAAGCGCCGGCUAACUCCGUG
rnacentral:rRNA from 1 species